rnacentral:misc_RNA from 1 species
AAGGAUCAUUAACGAGUUUUGAAACGAGUUGUAGCUGGCCUUCCGAGGCAUGUGCACGCUCUGCUCAUCCACUCUACCCCUGUGCACUUACUGUACGUUGGCGUGGGCUCCUUAACGGGAGCAUUCUGCCGGCCUAUGUAUACUACAAACACUUUAAAGUAUCAGAAUGUAAACGCGUCUAACGCAUCUAUA